GGAGAAUGUAGCUCAGUGACAGAACGUAUGAUUUGCAUCCCAAAGGUCCCAGGUUCAAAUCCUGGCAUCUCCA